rnacentral:rRNA from 1 species
UACGGAGGGGACUAGCGUUGUUCGGAAUUACUGGGCGUAAAGCGCACGUAGGCGGAUUUGUAAGUCAGGGGUGAAAUCCCGGGGCUCAACCUCGGAACUGCCUUUGAUACUGCGAAUCUCGAGUCCGGAAGAGGUGAGUGGAAUUCCUAGUGUAGAGGUGAAAUUCGUAGAUAUUAGGAAGAACACCAGUGGCGAAGGCGGCUCACUGGACCGGUACUGACGCUGAUGCGCGAAAGCGUGGGGAGCAAACGGG